GACGAACCGUACGAACGUUAUUCGGAAUUACUGGGCUUAAAGGGUGCGUAGGCGGCGCAGUAAGUUGGGUGUGAAAUCCCUCGGCUUAACCGAGGAAUUGCGCCCAAAACUACUGUGCUCGAGGGAGAUAGAGGUGAGCGGAACUUAGGGUGGAGCGGUGAAAUGCGUUGAUAUCCUAAGGAACACCGGUGGCGAAAGCGGCUCACUGGAUCUCUUCUGACGCUGAGGCACGAAAGCUAGGGAGCAAACAGG
rnacentral:rRNA from 1 species